CUUUAUUUCAAUAGUGUACAGUACCAUUCAUUCUCACAGACAUACAAUAUGUAACAUGGUUCCCAUCAUGUGAGAAUAGUGUAUCAGGUCAAUAGUAGAGAGGGCAACAGAAAAGUAUCUUCAUCACAGUACCACCCUUAUUGAAAGAAAUAUGAAUUUCACAUAGGUGUUCCAAAACCACAUGAAUUUGCAUGAUCGUAUGAGACGUUAAUGUGGUAACACGUGACAACAUGUGAAGACACGUGAAAUGUUCCACAUGGGAAAUCAUGUGGUUUUUCUGUACGGACAUAGCAAUCUGCACAAAGAUGCCUUGAAAGUAGCCUGUGAGACUCUCAACCUCAUGGGUAGAGUUGCCUUACAGGCUGCUUUCAAGAAGUGUAAAUCCCAUCACUUUAAAAAUUAACAAGUUUGGAGGAACAAAAUGACAAUUUCUUACAGUAUUGUCAGUAGAUACAUUUACCUAUAUCACUCACUGCUUUGUGUGUGUGUGUGUGUGUGUGUGUGUGUGUAUAUUCUUGCCAUUGCUUUAAUGAAUAAAUAAUUCAUAAUCGUGGUAACUUGGGUCACGUACUGUACAUUGUGUGUUUUUGAAUAUUGUUAAUAUUAUAAUAAUUAUGUCUCAAAGAAAUGGGAUAAUCAACAUAAUUAAAUUGUGUAUCAAUGUGUGUAUGUUUCCAUUAGAUCUUAAAAUGUAAAAAUAAAUAAACAAAACAGUGCACUCCAGUCAAAUUUACCUUAAAAUAAUACAUACAAUAUAUACAAGAAAUAUUAAAAAGUAAUGAUAAAUACAGAAACUGUCAUUUUUAAAGCCCUGUUCCCAAAAUGUACAGUUUAAGGCAAAAAAAAAACUAUUUUAUUAGCGUUUGUAUCUUCGUCAUUCAACAUUUUCUUUUUCUCUUAAAACCACCAUCUCCGAGUCUUGGUCAAGACGAUCAAAAACUACAAACAUGGAGACAGUGAAAUGGGCUUUUAGUUGAGAAGCCCACCAUAACCGUAGUUCAUAACAUAGACACAAUGAAAGACAUAGCAGUUGAUGUAACCAGUUGAUAAAACUAAAAAUAGAAAUUGUUGGUUACAAGUCUAACCGUUGAAAUACAUUUAAAAAUAUAUCUCAGUUGUGGAUGAAUCAACUGUAUUGCUGUUGAGUAAACUGCCUGAACUCAACAACAAAAACGGCAGUUACCCAACGGAGUGUAGUAUACUGAGAUGAAAUAAAAUGAUAAAACAUCUCGCCUCAUAACAGAACGGCGUAACAGGUUUUCCUUAAAAGGUGAAUUUAACAGUUGUAAAACUGCAGUAGGCUAAUGUGUCAAUGUGAUUGUGUAAUAAAUGUUCUAGGUUUUAUGGGCAAUGAAUUCCUUGACUGUUUGUCACACACUAACAGACACCACUUUCACAAUGGUAAUACCAAGUCAGUUUUUUUCAAUCCCUUUGGUGCAAUUUUCACAAGUCUGUGGUAUAUUUUCACAACUCUAAGCACAGAAAUCUAAAACAGAUCAUCAAAAUGGCUCAUAUUUCAAAACUCUAAGCACAUUUUCCAUUGACUGAGCACCAAACAAAUUCAGUGUCACUUGUUCACUGCACCGAAUCACUCUUUCAAUUCGAAUGCAUAUUCAUUAUAAGUAUCUGCUUUUCAAAACGCAAUAUUCACUUUACUUUUGAUAUGAUUUUGUCAAUUGCAAACAAUACAAUUAACUAUUACUUAAUCAAACUGCUCACUACUGAACCAACAUGAUGUAGUGCCUAGCUAACGUGUAUAGCUUGAUAACGGCUGAACACUGUCAAUUUCAAAUCAUGUAUGGAUGUGGCUUUAAAUACUACAUCCUCCUUCUCCAUCAGCCGGUGUGCUUCAAUAGGACAAAGUGGAAAGACUCCCUAUGUGCUACCAUUAUAGCGUAGUGUACAAUGCACUGCUGAAAUACCUAGGAUUAUACAGUAUAUAACAAUACAUUCCAGCCAGUAUCUGAAUUUCAUUGAUACAUUAAGCUGAUGAACUUCAAGCAGAGAGACAGGUGAUACUGUGUCAGUUGACAAGUCAUGUAGAAAAGGUGAUAUUGUACAAUUAUCCAUGGGGCAGAAAUGGAAUACAACACCGUGGUACGUUUUUACCGUAGCCGACUGGUUUACAAUACCACUAUAUCUGAUUAUUUGACCUACGUACUGUAUGUACUGUAGUACUGUAUAAGGAUAAUGAAACUAAAAUUGUGCAUGUCAAGUUAGUCAAAUUCUGUAUGGAAAAAGAUAUUUACAAUCUACUAUUCUUUCUAACCAGCACUUCAAAAAUAACAGUUUUUACAAUGUCUAUCUUGUAUUCUUUGCUAUUGGAUUCAAUGUUAGUUCAAAUUACUAAAUGGUGAGCCUAUCAUUAUCUGAUGUAUUGGCGACUAAACUAAAUGUUGUAUUUUAUGGAAAACUUUGAUUUGGCAUGAAUGACCCUGGGGUGAAAGAUGUGUGCAACCUCAAUGAAUACACAAUCAAAGGUUCUGAACAUAAGACAGGAGGCAUUACACGUGUUAUCAGUUUAGAGUUUUGUACAUAGAGCUUAGAAAAUAUACCACUUACAUCUGAAAAAUGUGCCUAAGUGAUAAAAAAAAAAAAAAAAAUGUAAAUAGAUUACACUGCACCUGGAGUGGUGAAUGGAAAGGGAAUCGAUAGCUGUGGGUGUCCCUGCUGUCUAAAGAAGCUUCAGGUAAAUUCUGUUCUGUUCAAAGAUGCUGUGUCACACCAGCAAACUGACUUGGUCACAGAUUCUCUCACAGAUUCUCUCCAAAAAUCACAGCUUGUUCGCCAAAGACAUUAAUACCUGUGUGUAUCUUACACUAGUUAGAUCGUCAACCAAUAAUAACAUUCUGGUACUCAGUGGCCUCAGUGGUAUUGCUAUAGCAUUACACCUCCACACCACCAGAUGGCGUACCUUUAUAUAUGCACCCCAUGGUCACCUGACACCAAUUGUGCUGGCUGGCUGGCUGUGCCACAUAGACAUGUGAGAAUGCAUUUCAAUGAGCUUCCAUGAUUCACUUACGCUGUCAAGCAUGACAGAGUACAGUGUGUGUGUGUGUUAAAAUGUAUAUAUUAUGUAAGAUAUGAUGUACAUACGUGUUCUUGUAUGUAAGGUAUGCAUGAGACGUACUCAGGCUUUACAUGUGAAUAUCUAUGUGAGGGGGUGGAAUCAUAGCUUGCACUGAAACCUACCAUUGAGCCAGGGAAAUACUGUGUAUACUAUUUUACAUACUGUAUGUACAGUGUAUGAAAAGACACUAAAAAAAGGUUCAUAGUCAGACUUGCUAUCCAUUCAACCACAGUGCUUGAGUUCAGAUACAGUACAUGUCGGUCCCUAUCAAAGUACCAUGUGUUAACAUUAAAGGCCCAGUGCAGUCAAAAUGAUGUUAUAUAAUUGAUACCGCUGAUGAAACUAACACUAUAGAAGUUUUUUACAUUUUUAUUAUCAGUGUUAUUUCCUGAUAGUGGCUGGUCGAAAAAAAAAAUAUCUACACAGGACCUUCUAAAUCAGCAGGCUUGCAUGGUGACGUCACCAUGGGAUAAAUUGUUUAAUAGAUAAUAACAGAGUUAAAAUCCUCUCUGCCAAUAACAGCUAGUUCAGUCCAACCCACCCCCCCCCCCCCCAAACUAUUUUUGCCCUUUUUAAUAGAAGUCUAUUACUUAAUUGGUAGCCAGACAUUAUUUGACAUAAAAAUGGCUGCAUUGGGCCUUUAAGAUGUUUUUCAUCUAUCGCUCUAGAAGACAUCACAGUAAGGCCUAUUGUGAAAUUCACUGCUCUUCAAUGCUGGCUUUGUAUCAGUGGAG
rnacentral:lncRNA from 1 species